rnacentral:miRNA from 1 species
CCUGCUGGGAACUUGGGAGGUGAGCUCUGAGCCAGCCGAGGGGAACUGUGGCUAAGGCGUGUUUGCUUGGGUUGCAGGGAGCUCCA